UCUUACGGUGGGACCACAACACCAAGCCUUCGUCGCUUCAUGAGCAUUGCCACCGUUGCCUGUGCAGCACUGCUCCUGCUCCCGAUUCCGCAAUUCCGCAUUCGACCACAAGUCACCAACCAUUUCAGAUGUGCUUUGGAAAUAAAUUUUGACAUAAUAAAUAAAUUUAAAAAAAAAUAUCGCCAUUUUGAAUUGAUAGCACGAUCUGUUGGUCGGGAAUUUGUACAACAGUACUAUACAUUGUUGAAUCAAGCACCAGCUCAAUAAAACAGAACACUAAUGGAGAAUUUCAAAAUGGCGGUGCGUCGUCAACCUGUUCGUCAAUUUACUCAGAAGAAUAAGAAGAAGAAAAAAAAAAAAUUUUGUUUGGUAUUCUAUCCUGUAAAGGCGAAGCUGGAUUAUCCCGCGUUCCGGACUCUGAACUGUGAAUCAAAAGAAAAAAAAAAUUUUUUUCUUUGGUAUUCUCAGUAGAGUUUACCUACAGUUUCAACCCAUGUAACACAAAUAUUACUACGGGUAUCAGUCGAAGGCAUUAGUCAUCACACAAAAUGUUCUAACCCCCUAGACUGAUAUACUCAAACCGUAGUAAUAUUUUUGGGUUGGAUUAUAAUAUAGGUCCAGCAAUGUCCUAGAGAUGAAUUGCUGGACACGGAAGUGGGGUCACACCUGCGUAGCCAAACUGUCAAACAGUCCUCAGUAGAGACGCUGUUUUUCAGUGUCGCGACCUACGGAUUAACCUCCCUUUUAAUUAAUUACCCCAUAUACAUGGUACGCCAGUGGCACUCGAUCUAACACCCGGAGGACUAUCUCCCUAUUUAUGGCUAGUGAAUGCAGCCAUUUUCGCUACAAUGUACAAUCAAGUAGUCUCUCUAGACACGACACUCUAAUACUAUAGAAAUUUAGCUAUUAUAGGUAGAUUAGUUCCAUUAAGUGUCAUAAACAUUAUAGUUAAUGGAACCAUUCUAUAGCAAAGAAGUAAUGAGACUUUAUAUAUAUUUUAUAAAUAAUACUGUAAUAUAAAUAUAUUUAACAAGCAAAAUAUCAAUAUUGAUUUAUAUAAAAAAUUUUCAGCAUAAUAAAAUAAUUUUAAAUCUUGAAGUAUAUCUUCGUUGAAAUAUUAAAACAUAAAUUAUUUUUCAUAAAGUAUAGCGAGACUUUUUUUGCUCACUUUGGAUUAAAUCUCCUUUGGUUUUCUGGAUUUACACAAAAACCUUAUUUAUCACUUUUUGAUAUAAACGUUUUCAACGUCAGUAACUCUUAUUUUUAGCUAACGUCGUAGAACUUGAGUAUAUAGAGACACUCUCCAAACUGCGGCUUACUUUUCCUUGUAAUAUUGUUUUUUUUUCUUUUACUGGCAUUUGUCCAAAUAGCCGUAAUAUAUAUGUUGGCCAACAAUAAUUACUGGAAAAAAAAAAAAUAUAUUUCAAUGAUGAUUGUUUUAUUUUGUUCUGAGUAAAUGUUAUGAAUUUAAAUAUUAGUUUCAUUCAUCAUAAUUAAAAUAUUAAUUUAUCAGGCAAUUUUAAUAUUGAAAAUAUAUUUUGAAAUUACAUAAAUACACAUAUAUACUUAUUUGAUAAACAAAUUUUUUUUUAAUGUACAAAUAAAUUUCUGAUAAUAAAAAAUAACUAAAAAAAAGAGGAAACAGGUUGACCCUGCGGGCAAGCCCUAAAACUUCCCGCUAUUUUUGAGCUCUUGAGAUCAAUAACAUUAUUGCGAAUGCAUUUUCGAACUUGUCAAAUUUAAAAACACUCUUCAAGCUCAAAAAAUUUAUGUAUUUCUUUGAACUACGAAAAUUAAAAAAAAUCUCAAAUAAUUGAUAACAUGAAACUUUCAAUUUUUAUGUACGAUUAUUCUUGAGAAAAUGCAUAGAUUUUGGCAUAACUAAAAUUAAGUAAUCCUGAUAAAGAGUGAAAGGAAUUAUGAAUUAGAUCAUAACCUGAAAACAUGAAAUAUUCGAAAACAGUUUAGAGAACAGUAAUUUCUUUUAAGUUUUGUUGACGAUAGAUUUUCAACUAAAUAACAAACCGAUCACAACAAAUAAUCCAGUAAUGAAAUGAGACUGUAAAAGUAAGGACAUGGUAUAAUUAAUCAAACAUUUAGUAUAUCAUAUUAUGAGGUAUCAAAGAAAAUUGUUAUUUUUAAAAUUUUUCGGUAUCGAUAUCUUAACGAAUAAACCGAUUUUGAUGUUCGAAAUAGCUCUUGACAAGUUUGAUUGAGUUCUACAGCUGAUAUAUUUUUGAAAUUGAUAGGUUUAGUCGUCUUGAUAUUCGAAAGAACUCGUUUUUUAACAUUUGUUUCGCCAACGAUAUUUUUCAAACGAAUCAACCGAUUGAGAUGGUUGUUGCAGCAAUCGACGCGUUUUAUCAAGUUCUAGAACUGAUUAGAUCCUAAAAUCGAUAAAUUUAAUAAGUGGGAUGUAUUUAUCAUUGUCAUUGGCAAUUUAUUUGAAUAAAUAGAGUAUAAUUUAUUUUACAAAAAUAACAUGCUUUUAUUUUGUUGUUAUACUUAGUAAUUGCAUGUAUGUUGACCCAGGUCAAAAAAAAAUCUUAAAUUUGACUUGAUUUAACUUAAUUUUCUUUGAAGUCGUCGAUUUGCCGACAACUGUAUUCCACAUUUUAACUUUUUUUAACUUUU